GGUGAACAUGGGACUAAGCCUGGAAGAAAAGCCAAGAGUGCAGGUGCCAUGAAAGUGCUGCAAAAAUCAGGAGCAAAAGUGGGCAUGGCCUGAGAGGGUCAUGGACUUUGUUGCCACUUGCGAGAUCUCUUUCUCCUGGAAGCCUAGUUGCUGCUUUCCCUGCAGCUGCUGCUUUACAGAGCGGUGGAAGCAUCUGUGAGUGAGGGGAGGAAGGCCCUGCUUAACCCAGAGAUGCUGUUCUCCAGAGCAGACGGAACAGGAGAGGUGACUGGCUGUUGCUUGCACAGAAGGACUUUGAAGCCAUCAGACCAACAAGAAGCACUGGAGAGAGUUAAGGAGCCAUUAGACCAAACCUGAAGAAUAGAGCAGAAGGGUACAGGAUUUGAAGAUUCAGCUGCUGGAGGUCACCAUGUUCAUGUUUGGAAGUGAAAAGAAAGCACAAGAAUUUUGCCUCAAGAUCAAGACAAGCCAGGUCCUGAUCACAGUAGUUCAACCCCUGGAUCCAGCCGUGUCUGAAAGAAGAUGUAACUAUGAAAUCUAAAUAUAGAUCUAACUGAGCCAAUAAUUUAGUUUUCCCCUUAAGCCAAUUUGAGUUGAGUUUCUGUCACCUACUACCAACAAACUCCUGCUUAAUAUAUAAGUAAGUUAAGGCUUAAUCAUGUAAAUGCAAAGCAGUCAUCUUUAGAGCAACAAUUUAGAACUUUUCAGUGAGAUAAUCCUUAGCAGCAAUG